rnacentral:lncRNA from 1 species
GAUUGAUGUGGGAAUUCAUGCAAUGUCGCUGGGAAUUUGAAACCUGGUGCUCAUCUGGAGAUCAUGGUUGGGAAGAGGAGGCAGGAGCGUCGUCUGAGCUGGCUCAUGAGAGGAGUUUCAGCGUGUCGUGUGGCCCCUUGUUACAGGGCCUUUUGCCAAGGCUGCUCUUGGAGCCUGCCAAUAGCAUCAUGAAGCCUCUGCACUCCUCGCAGUGACGAUGCUACAAACACAGAAGGAGCAACUGCCUCAUCUCUGUUUCUCAGUG